AGAGUUUGAUCCUGGCUCAGAACGAACGCUGGCGGCGUGCUUAACACAUGCAAGUCGAACGAGAAAGUUCUCUUCGGAGAGCGAGUAGAGUGGCGCACGGGUGAGUAACGCGUAGGUAAUCUACCCUUAUAUCUGGGAUAACAUUGGGAAACUGGUGCUAAUACCGGAUACACUUUACUGCUGCGGGGCAGUAGAGGAAAGGUGGCCUCUUCAUGAAAGCUACCGUAUAGGGAUGAGCCUGCGUACCAUUAGCUAGUAGGUGGGGUAACGGCCCACCUAGGCGACGAUGGUUAGCGGGUCUGAGAGGAUGAUCCGCCACACUGGAACUGGAACACGGACCAGACUCCUACGGGAGGCAGCAGUGAGGAAUAUUGCGCAAUGGGGGAAACCCUGACGCAGCGACGCCGCGCGAGUGAGGAAGGCCUUCGGGUCGUAAAGCUCUGUCAGAAGGGAAGAAGUGCUAUAUAGCUAACACCUAUGUAGUUUGACGGUACCUUCAGAGGAAGCACCGGCUAACUCCGUGCCAGCAGCCGCGGUAAUACGGAGGGUGCAAGCGUUGUUCGGAAUUACUGGGCGUAAAGGGCGCGUAGGCGGCUUUAUAAGUCAGAUGUGAAAGCCCACGGCUUAACCGUGGAAGUGCAUUUGAAACUGUGAAGCUUGAGUAUCGGAGGGGAGUGUGGAAUUCCCGGUGUAGAGGUGAAAUUCGUAGAUAUCGGGAGGAACACCGGUGGCGAAGGCGACACUCUGGACGAAUACUGACGCUGAGGCGCGAAAGCGUGGGGAGCAAACAGGAUUAGAUACCCUGGUAGUCCACGCCGUAAACGAUGUGAACUAGAGGUGGGAGGUGUUGAUCCCUUCUGUCUCGCAGCUAACGCAUUAAGUUCACCGCCUGGGGAGUACGGUCGCAAGAUUAAACUCAAAGGAAUUGACGGGGGCCCGCACAGCGGUGGAG
rnacentral:rRNA from 1 species